rnacentral:rRNA from 1 species
GAGAGUGAUCGGAACAUGCUGGAAAGCAUGGCCAUAGCGGGUGACAGCCCCGUACGAGAAGCUCGAUGGGACGUAUUAAGUAGGGCGGGACACGUGAAAUCCUGUCUGAAGAUCGGAGGACCACCUUCGAAGGCUAAGUACUCCUUGCUGACCGAUAGCGAACCAGUACCGUGAGGGAAAGGUGAAAAGCACCCCGACGAGGGGAGUGAAACAGUACCUGAAACCGAACGCCUACAAUCAGUCGGAGCUCCUUACGGAGUGACGGCGUACCUUUUGUAUAAUGGGUCAUCGACUUGGUCUAUCUAGCAAGCUUAAGCCGAUAGGUGUAGGCGCAGCGAAAGCGAGUCUUAAUAGGGCGUCGAGUUAGAUGGAUCAGACCCGAAACCGAGUGAUCUAGGCAUGACCAGGAUGAAGGUAAGGUAACACUUACUGGAGGUCCGAACCCACACCUGUUGAAAAAGGUCGGGAUGAGUUGUGCCUAGGGGUGAAAGGCCAAUCAAACUCGGA